rnacentral:lncRNA from 1 species
GGACGAUUCCAAGGAUCACUGUUGUUGCUAAUUUUUUUUCUUUUAAAAAAUACAGAUAUUUUUAAUAAAAGUAUGUUAAUUAUGUUAACCUGUAAUGGGCUUAUUAUUUCAAAAUCAAUUAACAAUGUAAAUAUUUAAAACUUCUGUGUUAAAAUUUCUAAUAGUAUAAAUAGCAGUAGAUUUAGCCCACUCUAAGGGAGAUGGUUGUGCUUUAGUCAGGAGUAGGCCGAGGCAGCCUUCUGGUGCAGCAUGACUCAGUGGGUUUGGAGGCAGGCACACAACUCCACACAUUAUGUAACCAUGCCAUGUGAGGUGCAUUAGGUGACCACUCAUAUGAGCACGUGCUUGGCUCAAAGCCACUAUUGUCUGUAAAAGGUAAAAUUACCCUGCUGACACUACAUAUGGCUUGCACCCAGAGAGAGAAUAAAGCCAUGUCGAAACCGCCUACUCGAGUGUUUUUCCAGUUACCUGCCACCCACCCACCAACUCCCCUUGGACUUUAGUUUGGGCUAGAACCUGACAAUUGGCAUCACGAACAGGAUCCUAAGGUAAGUGAGCCUUCGGUCCCUGCUGAUUCCAGGUUGGCCAUGUGACCACAACAUGGGUUGUGGUACCCGGUGGUAGCCGUGCUGUGAGGGUGGGCCUGAGUGGAAACCUGGGUGGCAGUAGAUGGGUCCCCCAUGAGCAUGGAGAAGGCGCUGAAGCAGCUGGAAGUGCAGAGCACCAAGAAGGAGAGAGCCUUUGCUGGCAGAGUUGGAUGGGCAUUUUUAACUGUGCUAAGAAAAGUACACACCCAGUCCCUGAGGGAUGCAGACUGGAGGUCUGGCUACACCGAUCUGGAAAAUAAUUAGAGGCUGCCAUGAAUGGGGACCUCCAGGUGCAGGCAGGAUGCCUGGAGGUGUGGCUUCAGAGCUUGGAAAAGGAAUUAGAGGCUACCAUGAAUGCAGGCCUGGGUCCAUCAUCUUGUCUGGAGAUCCCCACUCAGUUUCAUACCAAGGAGGAAGAACCCCUGUUGCGGGCUCACCCGGUGGUCUGACAGAAGGUAGAUCAUGAACAGCCACUGGGGCUCCAAGGGUGGACUCAGGGACUCCCCACCAUAAUGCAACACAUUUCGUAUAUUGCCUGUACCCCAACUGAGUUGCAGGAAUUAGGCAAGCAGUGUUGCCAGUGUCCAGGGGAACCCCUGCCUGCCUGGAUGCUUCGUCUGUGGAACAAGGGAGCAGAUGGUAUCUCCCAUUCCACCUCUGAGAUGGACAAGCUGGCCUCCACCAUGACUCACCCCUCUCUCUGUCAGCGGCUGCAAGUGAGCAGGUGGUUAGUGGCAGCGCAAGGAGACCACACCCUGACUGAGUGGCUACAGGCAGCCAUAUGAACUGUGUGGAAUAAUGCUGGUGAAAUGCCCAAAACUAUUUAGAAGCAGUGGCACCCCUCUUGUGGCAACAUUUGGCAGCAUGCAGUUGGGCCAUCAACAAAUCCAAGGUCCGAGGGCCUGGAUUACCUGCUAAAUUCUUGGGAGUUAUCUGGUCGGGGCUGAAGUUCCAGGCUGGACCUGAUGCUCCAAACCUUGAAUGAAUGGCCAUGGAAAAGCAGCCCAGCCCAGGUGGAGGCUUUGUUACAUGGGCCACCACCCCUAUUCAGUUGCAGAUACACACCAAGGGUAACCGCCUCUGACCAGGCAGGAAUUGAGGUUGUUGCAGACCUGCGUGGAUUUGCUGCCAGUAGCAGGAGCAGAGGACUAGGCCUUGGAGACGGUGAGGGGGCCACUCCCUCCCUAUCCCCAGGCAUCGAUAAUAGAAAAGAAAAAUUGCCAUCUGCACACCAGGUGCCAGGAGAAGGGUUGAUUAGCUGCAGAAAUGAAACAACACCUGAUCCUGCAGCUGCAGCUGGAGCCCCCGCCUGAUUAAGUUUACACUGGUCCACUGUCAUUUUCCAACACCUAUUUGUCUUCUGCACAAACCAGAUAGGGACACCAUGAUCAACCAGCCAAUGCCAAAGACCUCUGGGGGUCAGACUAUUCUGAGGACUGCUUUGGCUCCACCGUCCACAGUGGCAACCACACCCACUUGGUCUUUUAUGCGGGACAUGGAUGAAGCUGGAAACCAUCAUUCUCAG